CGUGCGCGAAAGUCUUCGGACAAGUAGAGCGGCGAAAGGGUGAGUAACACGUAACCAACGUACCCCUCAGAUCGGAAUAACCACUGGAAACGGUGGAUAAUGCCGAAUGGUCCAGGGAAGGACAUCCUUCUCAUGGUAAACGGCGGCUUCGGCUGCUGCUGGGGGAGCGGGUUGCGGCCUAUCAGCUUGUUGGUGAGGUAACGGCUCACCAAGGCUAUGACGGGUAGCGGGUCUGAGAGGAUGAUCCGUCACACUGGGACUGAGACACUGCCCAGACUCCUACGGGAGGCUGCAGUCGAGAAUCUUCCACAAUGGGCGAAAGCCUGAUGGAGCGACGCUGCGUGCAGGAUGAAGGCCUUAGGGUUGUAAACUGCUGUCACGCUAUAGGAACCCACAUCGGUGAAUAGUCGGUGUGCUGACCAAAGCGAGAGGAAGUGCCGGCUAACUCCGUGCCAGCAGCCGCGGUAAA
rnacentral:rRNA from 1 species